rnacentral:rRNA from 1 species
UACGUAGGGGGCUAGCGUUGUCCGGAAUUACUGGGCGUAAAGCGCAAGUAGGCGGCUUGUUAAGUCAGACGUGAAAGCCCGAGGCUUAACCUCGGGACUGCGUUUGAAACUGGAAGGCUUGAGGAUCGGAGAGGGCAGUGGAAUUCCCAGUGUAGAGGUGAAAUGCGUAGAUAUUGGGAGGAACACCAGUGGCGAAGGCGACUGCCUGGACGACACCUGACGCUGAGGUGCGAAAGCUAGGGGAGCAAACGGG